AGUCUGGUGCCAGCAGCCGCGGUAAUUCCAGCUCUAAUAGCGUAUAUUAAAGUUGUUGCAGUUAAAAAGCUCGUAGUUGGAUUUCGGCGUGCGCUCAGGCUGGUCGGCCGUCAAGGUCUGUACCGUUUGGGUCACGCCCCACUGUAGGAUACUCACCGCUGUCCUUAACUGGGUGGCGGUCAAAGGGGGUGUGCAUGGGGGCAACUCUGUGCAUAUCUCUGGGGUUCCUACUCUUUUACUUUGAGCAAAUUAGAGUGUUCAAAGCAGGCAAUCGAGCCUUGAAUACUUCAGCAUGGGAUAAUGGAACAGGACUGGGGUCCUGAUUUCGUUGGUUUCUGGGAUCUCAGUAAUGAUUAAUAGGGAUAGUUGGGGGCAUUAGUAUUUAACUGUCAGAGGUGAAAUUCUUGGAUUUAUGAAAGACUAACUUCUGCGAAAGCAUUUGCCAAGGAUGUUUUCAUUAAUCAAGAACGAAAGUUAGGGGAUCGAAGACGAUCAGAUACCGUCGUAGUCUUAACCAUAAACGAUGCCGACCAGCGAUUGGGAGACGUUACAUGGAUGACUCCCCCAGCAGCUUGCGAGAAAUCACAAGUCUUUGGGUUCCGGGGGGAGUAUGGUCGCAAGGCUGAAACUUAAAGGAAUUGACGGAAGGGCACCACCAGGAGUGGAGCCUGCGGCUUAAUUUGACACAACACGGGGAAACUUACCAGGUCCAGACAUAGUAAGGAUUGACAGAUUUGAGAGCUCUUUCUUGAUUCUAUGGGUGGUGGUGCAUGGCCGUUCUUAGUUGGUGGAGUGAUUUGUCUGGUUAAUUCCGUUAACGAACGAGACCUUAACCUGCUAAAUAUGUCACUGGUAGACUUCUGCCAAAACAGGUGGGUGUCUAGGGGAAAGUUUCGAUGGACUCCGACGCAUUCAUCUGUGGAUGACUACCAGGAUGUACUUCUUAGAGGGACUAUCUGUAUCAAAGCAGAUGGAAGUUUGAGGCAAUAACAGGUCUGUGAUGCCCUUAGAUGUUCUGGGCCGCACGCGCGCUACACUGACAAGUUCAACGAGUUUAACACCUUGCUCGACAGGGCUGGGUAAUCUUUGAAAAACUUGUCGUGAUGGGGAUAGAUCAUUGUAAUUAUUGGUCUUCAACGGGGAAUUCCUAGUAAGCGUGAGUCAUCAGCUCGCGUUGAUUACGUCCCUGCCCUUUGUACACACCGCCCGUCGCUCCUACCGAUUGAACGAUCCGGUGAAAUGUUGGGAGCUGGGGUCUUUUGGCGGCGGGGCAACUCGUCGUCAGGGAUUCUGCAAACUUCAUUAAACCUUAUCAUUUAGA
rnacentral:rRNA from 1 species